rnacentral:rRNA from 1 species
CAGCAGCCGCGGUAAUACGGAGGGGGCUAGCGUUGUUCGGAAUUACUGGGCGUAAAGCGCACGUAGGCGGCUUGGUAAGUUAGAGGUGAAAGCCUGGAGCUCAACUCCAGAAUUGCCUUUAAGACUGCCGAGCUAGCAGGUGAGAGAGGUAAGUGGAAUUCCGAGUGUAGAGGUGAAAUUCGUAGAUAUUCGGAAGAACACCAGUGGCGAAGGCGGCUUACUGGCUCAUACUGGACGCUGAGGUGCGAAAGCGUGGGGAGCAAACAGGAUUAGAUACCCGUGUAGUCCCUGUCUCUUAUAA